CGGCGAAGGGAGAGUAACGCGUAGAUAUCUGCCUCGAGGCCCGGGAUAGCGGCGAGAAACUGCCGGUAAUACCGGAUAACAUCUCCGGAUCAAAGGUGUGAUUCCGCCUCGAGAUGAGUCUGCGUCCUAUUAAUGCUUGUUGGUGUGGUAACGGCGCACCAAGGCGAAGAUGGGUACCGGGUGUGAGAGCAUGGCCCGGCUCACUGGGACUGAGACACUGCCCAGACACCUACGGGUGGCUGCAGUCGAGAAUCUUCGGCAAUGGGCGAAAGCCUGACCGAGCGACGCCGCGUGCGGGAUGAAGGCCCUCGGGUUGUAAACCGCUGUCAGUAGGGAGCAAAUCUCUUGGGGUUAUCCCCUUGAGUUGAGCGAUCUUCAGAGGAAGUACGGGCUAAGUUCGUGCCAGCAGCCGCGGUAAGACGAACCGUACGAACGUUAUUGGGAAUCACUGGGCUUAAAGAGUCCGUAAGCGGCCGUGUAGGUGGGAUGUGAAAGCCCUCGUCUCAACCGAGGAAUUGCGUUCCAAACCACAUGGCUUGAGGAGGAUAGAGGUGAGCGGAACUGAUGGUGGAGCGGUGAAAUGCGUUGAUAUCAUCAGGAACACCAGAGGCGAAGGCGGCUCACUGGGUCCUUUCUGACGCUGAGGGACGAAAGCUAGGGGAGCAAACGGGAUUAGAUACCCCGGUAGUCCUGGCUGUAAACGAUGAGCACUAGAUCGAGGGGACUUCCACAUCUUCUCGGUCGUAGCGAAAGUGUUAGUGCUCCGCCUGGGGGAGUAUGGUCGCAAGGGCUGAAACCUCAAA
rnacentral:rRNA from 1 species